UGAAUCCUAGAACCUUAUGAUCACAUUUCAUAGCUGUGGGGAAAAUCAGAAAAGGAAAGACUGGGCAGAGGUUCAAAGAAGAAAUGCCUUCUGCCAAACCAGGUCACCUGAGCUUCCUGUCUAAGCAUGGACCCAAGGAGAAUGGACUGGAAAUGGGUGAAGAAAGAAUCCCUGGGCUAGAGGAUAUAUCUAUAGAAGCUUUUAAAACUAUUGAACACAAAAACCGAAGAAAAUGGAACAGAAUGUCCAAGGACUGUGGGAUAACUACAAAAGACGAACCAUAUAUAUAAUGGGAAUACCAGAAGGAAAAGAGAGAAAGGAACAGAAGAAACAUGUGAAACAAUAUUGACCAAGAAUUUCUGCAUAUUGAUGUAACAAAAUAAUCCAUAGAUCCAGAAAGCUCAGAGAACAGUAAGCAGGAUAGAUGCCAAAAUACCCACACCCAGGCAUCUCAUUUUCAACCACAGGAAGUCAGAGAAAAAACUCCUGACAGAAGUAUGAGGGGUAAACAAACCUAUAAAGAAACAAAGAUAAGAAUUAUACCUUCCUUCAUCUCACAAAUCAUGCAAGCAAGAAGAGAGUAGAAUGAAAUAUUUAGUGUUGAGAGUAAAAACCACAACUACAGAAUUCUGUACCCUGAACAGUUACCCUUGAAAAGUGAAGGUAAAAUAAAGACUUGUUCAGACAAACAAAUUGGAGGGAAUUUGUUACCAAUAGACCUACCUUACAAGAAAUGCUUUAAAAUGCUUUUUUAUAGGGAAAGAAAUUAAUAUGUCAUAAACUCAAAUCUUAAAGAGAGAAUAAUGUAAAUAAAUUAAAAACUUUUAUUUUUCUACUUAA